AGUGAACGCUGGCGGUAGGCCUAACACAUGCAAGUCGAACGGCAGCACAGUAAGAGCUUGCUCUUACGGGUGGCGAGUGGCGGACGGGUGAGGAAUACAUCGGAAUCUACUUUUUCGUGGGGGAUAACGUAGGGAAACUGACGCUAAUACCGCAUACGACCUACGGGUGAAAGCAGGGGAUCUUCGGACCUUGCGCGAUUGAAUGAGCCGAUGUCGGAUUAGCUAGUUGGCGGGGUAAAGGCCCACCAAGGCGACGAUCCGUAGCUGGUCUGAGAGGAUGAUCAGCCCCCCUGGAACUGAGACACGGUCCAGACUCCUCCGGGAGGCAGCAGUGGGGAAUAUUGGACAAUGGGCGCAAGCCUGAUCCAGCCAUACCGCGUGGGUGAAGAAGGCCUUCGGGUUUUAAAGCCCUUUUGUUGGGAAAGAAAAGCAGCAGGUUAAUACCCCGCUGUUCUGACGGUACCCAAAGAAUAAGCACCGGCUAACUUCGUG
rnacentral:rRNA from 1 species